UACGGAGGGUGCGAGCGUUGUUCGGAAUCACUGGGCGUAAAGCGCGUGUAGGCGGCCCGCUAAGUCUGAUGUGAAAGCCCGAGGCUCACCCUCGGAAGUGCAUUGGAAACUGGCGGACUGGAGUCCCGGAGAGGAGGGUGGAAUUCCUGGUGUAGCGGUGAAAUGCGUAGAUAUCAGGAGGAACACCGGUGGCGAAGGCGGCCCUCUGGACGGUGACUGACGCUGAGACGCGAAAGCUAGGGGAGCAAACGGG
rnacentral:rRNA from 1 species